CUAGUCCAUUUAAAAUGGCCCAAUCAUUAGUUUCCGGUUUUGCCCCUGACGGCAAGCUUUUUCCGUUUAAUUUAUUUUCAGAUCUCCUUGCUAUUCUCUAUCUCCCCUAUUUCUUUCUGACAUUCGAAACCUUCCAUUUUUCUUUCUAAGCUCGGAUCGCAACUCCAUCUCUAUCACUAUGCAAAAUCAUAGAUCUGAUCCGACUCCAAACUUAAUUUGAUCCAUCUCCAUCUCUGUCAAAAUCGCAGAUGAUCUCAUACAUGCAAAACUAUGUCACACUCUCUCUCCCAAUAUUUCUAACACUCUCUCCCUUCUGUAAAGAUGAGAAGGGACCUAGACUUUUCACCAACAUCGGCAAAAAAGAGCCAAAGAGACGGUAUGGGUGUCGUGCAAUGAUGCUGGAGACUAUGGCAGCUGUCCCUAGCAUGCUAGGAGGAAUACUGCUAACUUAAGGUUUCUGCUCAAGUUUUAGCAGAGCGGUGGUUGUAAAACCUGCGUGGUGACAAACGUGGAGACAAUUUCUCCUCCUUGGGACUUUGUGGACACUCCUUGUGAUUAUACUUCUUACUGUGGAGGAUGUAAAACACAAAAUUUGAUUUAUGAGGCUCAAGUCAAAGCUAAGGAGCAGCAAGUUCAUCAGUUGAUUAUUAACUUUGGAAAGUUUUCUCACACGGAACUGGAAUUUCUAAGCAUCAUGAAGCCCAUCAGAAAACAUGCUUUUGCCAUAAUGCUUUCCUCUUGUUUUUUAUCACAUCAGAAAACAGUUACUUAAUUUAGCUAACACAACCUACUUGCUAUUUGUCAUUUGACACUUUCAAGAAUCAAAGUAUCAAAGUACUCUAUUUUGGUGUAAGGUAUACAUUUAUGCAUAUUCUUAACUUUACCUGUAAAUUCACUGUAAAAUAAAUUUCUAAGAAUCUGUAAAUCA